GCGCCGGUGGUGCAGUUGCAUAGCACGCUUCUUUAGAAAGGGACGAAAUACGAGUUCGAUUCUCGUCUGACGUU